rnacentral:rRNA from 1 species
CCUACGGGUGGCUGCAGUGAGGAAUAUUGGUCAAUGGGAGGAAUCCUGAACCAGCCAUGCCGCGUGCAGGACGACGGCUCUACGAGUUGUAAACUGCUUUUGUAUGGGGGUAAAAUGCUCUACGAGUAGGGUUUUGAAAGUACGGUACGAAUAAGGAUCGGCUAACUCCGUGCCAGCAGCCGCGGUAAUACGGAGGAUCCGAGCGUUAUCCGGAUUUAUUGGGUUUAAAGGGAGCGUAGGUUGUUUGUUAAGUAAGUGGUGAAAGUUCGAGGCUCAACAUAGAAAUUGCAGUUGAUACUGGAAGGCUGGAGUUCGGUUGAGGCAGGCGGAAUGUGUGGUGUAGCGGUGAAAUGCUUAGAUAUUACGAAGAACACCGAUUGCGAAGGCAGCUUCCUGGACGGGAACUGACACUGAGGCUCGAAAGCGUGGGGAUCAAACAGGAUUAGAUACCCGUGUAGUC